rnacentral:rRNA from 1 species
AACGAACGCUGGCGGCAUGCCUAACACAUGCAAGUCGAGCGAGAAAGCGGGAGCAAUCCUGUGAGUACAGCGGCGCACGGGUGAGUAACACGUGGAUAAUCUACCUUGAAGUGGGGAAUAACUCUGGGAAACCGGAGCUAAGACCGCAUACGCCUGAGAAGGGAAAGCCGCAAGGCGCUUUGAGAGGAGUCCGCGGCCGAUUAGCUAGUUGGUGAGGUAAUGGCUCACCAAGGCGGGGAUCGGUAGCCGGCCUGAGAGGGCACACGGCCACACUGGCACUGAAACACGGGCCAGACUCCUACGGGAGGCAGCAGUGGGGAAUCUUGCACAAUGGAGGCAACUCUGAUGCAGCGACGCCGCGUGAGUGAUGAAGGCCCUAGGGUUGUAAAGCUCUUUUACCCGGGAAGAUAAUGACUGUACCGGGAGAAUAAGCCCGGCUAACUUCGUG